GGAAUUUUGCGCAAUGGGCGAAAGCCUGACGGAGCGACGCCGCGUGAGCGAUGAAGGUCUUCGGGUUGUAAAGCUCUGUGGGGAGAGAAGAAUAAGUUCAGGCGAAUACCCUGAAUGAUGACGGUAUCUCCUUAGCAAGCACCGGCUAACUCUGUGCCAGCAGCCGCGGUAAGACAGAGGGUGCAAACGUUGUUCGGAUUUACUGGGCGUAAAGCGUGUGUAGGCGGCUUCGCAAGUUGGAUGUGAAAUCCCACGGCUCAACCGUGGACGUGCAUCCAAAACUGCGUCGCUAGAGUCUCGGAGAGGAAGGUGGAAUGCUUGGUGUAGAGGUGAAAUUCGUAGAUAUCAAGCAGAACACCUGCGGCGAAGGCGGCCUUCUGGACGAUGACUGACGCUGAGACACGAAAGCGUGGGGAGCAAA
rnacentral:rRNA from 1 species